CUGCGGCUAGCUGGUCUGGUUUUAAAUAGGUUGUAUCAAGCUCCAAAUAUGUGUAUUCAUUUCUCCAAAGAAAUUAAGUAGUACGUAGGUAUCUUGUAGAAUUAAGAACAGAACCUUUUCUAUAUCAGCUACUUCAUCCGUCCUGAAAUAAAAUGCAUUGUGACUUCUAAAAUUUGUAUUGAAGUACAAUCUAUUCUAUAUAAUGACUAUGUUUCGAUUUGGUAAGUUUUGAUAAAAAUAAAGCCACGAUUUAAACAAAAACUUUAUAAUUAGAAUAAUCUACUGCAUUACAGGACAGAGGGAGUAUGUUGCAAAUGACAACAUAACAGAAUGCCAAACUGUACUUAGUUACCUAGCCUUAAUUAAUAAUUAUAUUAAUUUUCAAAAAUAAAAAUAAUGGGAAAAUCUUUAAUUAGAUUACAUUUCAAAAAAUAAAAAAAUUGAAAAAUUUAAUUAAUUAACUCCUCAAUUUGUAAGUAGCAACAGAGCUAUAAUUUUGUUUUCUUAUAUUGUAUACAUAAGAGGAAAACGUCUAUACUAAUAGUUAGUAAUAUGUGACGAUGUCAACACUAUAUGUACAUCCAUUGAUCAACCAUUCUCUACAUUUUCGUUGAAUUAAAGAACUAUAUUCAUGAAUUAAGUACUCCCUCUAUAUCAAUAAAUCAAGUCGUUUUAGGGGGACGUCGUUUGCAGAAAUCAAGUCGUUUUAGGUCUCUUAACGAGGUUUUAGACAUGAAUGCCCC
rnacentral:lncRNA from 1 species